rnacentral:rRNA from 1 species
GACCGAUAGCGUAUAGUACUGUGAAGGAAAGGUGAAAAGCACUUCGAAUAGAAGGGUGAAAUAGAACCUGAAACCGUACGCCUACAAGCGGUCGGAGCACCUAUAUGGUGUGACGGCGUGCCUUUUGCAUAAUGAGCCUACGAGUUAAUUUUACUAGCGAGGUUAAGGACUUCAGGUCCGGAGCCGGAGCGAAAGCGAGUCUGAAUAGGGCGCAUAGUUAGUAGGAUUAGACGCGAAACCUUGUGAUCUACCCAUGGGCAGGUUGAAGCUCUGGUAACACAGAGUGGAGGACCGAACCGGUUGACGUUGAAAAGUCUUCGGAUGACCUGUGGGUAGGGGUGAAAGGCCAAUCAAACUG